rnacentral:rRNA from 1 species
AGAACGAACGCUGGCGGCAUGCCUAAUACAUGCAAGUCGAACGAACACUUCGGUGUUAGUGGCGCACGGGUGCGUAACGCGUGGGAAUCUGCCCUUGGGUUCGGAAUAACAGUUGGAAACGACUGCUAAUACCGGAUGAUAUCGAAAGAUCAAAGAUUUAUCGCCCAGGGAUGAGCCCGCGUAGGAUUAGCUAGUUGGUGAGGUAAAGGCUCACCAAGGCGACGAUCCUUAGCUGGUCUGAGAGGAUGAUCAGCCACACUGGGACUGAGACACGGCCCAGACUCCUACGGGAGGCAGCAGUGGGAAUUUGGACAAGUGGGGGAAACCCUGAUCCAGCCAUCCGCGUGUGCGAUG